AUGGAUGAUCCCAUGGGUAGUGAUCCCAACCGGUUCAAUUUCAAUACUAGUGACUUAGAUGUUGACAUCCCCGAGUGGAUCGAUCCCACAACCACAACCCACACAUAUCCUUCUUCCGAUGAGUAUACUGGCAGCCAUUCCACUUCCCAGUCCAGUACCUCCACCUCCAUCGGCACAAAGAGGGUUCAACACAAAACCUCGGCGUGCUGGGAGUAUUUCGUUGAAGAAAUAGUCGUGGAGGACGGUGUCAACGUGCUGAAAGCUCGGUGCAAGAGGUGCGGCCACUUGCUUUCCUCGGGGGGGAAAGGAGGAACUGACCACCUCCUCAUGCACAACCUCAUGCACCAGAACGCGGACAAGCGAGAAGCAAUUUGUCGUUUAAUUGCUUCUAAUGAUUUACCAUUAGGUUUCGAAUUUGGUCUGACCGGCAAGAUAUUUGCAGUUACUUUGGAUAAUGCUUCAUCAAAUACAACUACAAUGGAGAGCCUCAGUCCUCUGUUUUCUGUAUAUGCUGCAUCUUUUUUACUGCAUCAACGUUGUGCUUGCCAUAUAAUUAAUCUUAUUGCUAAAUGUGCUAUGAAGAGAUGGAAAAAGAAAGGAGCAUGGAGAAAGUUGUUUGGUUCUACCACCUCUGCCCCGAGCUCUUCCACAUCAGGCCCAUCGCCUGUGCUUUUGGGUGGUGGGGAGUUAGCGAAGUACCUCAACAGCAAUAAAGUCAACUUCAAUGAAGAGGAAGAGGAAGACUUCGACAUAAUUCAGUGGUGGCAUGAACACAAGCUUACAUAUCUGGUGCUUUCCAUAUUAGCACGAGAUGUAUUAUCAGUACCCGUCUCAUCGACAUCAUCGGAGUCUGCUUUUAGCCUAGCUGGAAGAAUACUUGAGGAAAGAAGAACGAGUUUGACCCCGGAUAUGGUGAGAACACUCAUGGCCGUGAAAGACGGAGAACUAGCCAAAAGGAGAGCCCAACACACCGCUGAAAACAGAGAACUGAUGGCCACGUUCGAAAAUCUUGCACUCGAAGAUGAAGAAGACAAAGAGUAG
rnacentral:rRNA from 1 species